rnacentral:misc_RNA from 1 species
GAUGAAGAACGCAGCGAAAUGCGAUACGUAAUGUGAAUUGCAAAUUCAGUGAAUCAUCGUGUCUUUGAACGCACAUUGCGCCCCCUGGUAUUCCGGGGGGCAUGCCUGUCCGAGCGUCAUUGCUGCCCUCAAGCACGGCUUGUGUGUUGGGCCCCGUCCUCCGAUCCCGGGGGACGGGCCCGAAAGGCAGCGGCGGCACCGCGUCCGGUCCUCGAGCGUAUGGGGCUUUGUCACCCGCUCUGUAGGCCCGGCCGGCGCUUGCCGAUCAACCCAAAUUUUUAUCCAGGUUGACCUCGGAUCAGGUAGGGAUACCCGCUGAACUUAAGCAUAUCAAUAAGCGGAGGA